rnacentral:lncRNA from 1 species
CAUGGGUGUGCGGAAAGCUAAGCUGCUUGCCGACAGCAGGAAGGGGGUCUGGCCUGGGCUAAGCAUGAAUUUGGGGUGCAGGGUCUGAAGCUGAGGCAGAUUCCCCAGGCAGAGCUGACAUCAGCCCCGCAGGUACUCAUCAUGUCACAUGCAAAAAACAUCUUCAAGGUCACAUACACUUGAGAAAGGCAGGGUAAAAGAGUUAAGUAAGAUUCUUUUUUUUUCUUUUGAGACAGAGUCUCAUUCUUCUGUCGCCCAGGCUGAAGUGCAGUGGUGUGAUCUCAGUUCACUGCAUCCUCUGCCUCCAGGGUUCAAGCGAUUCUCCUGCCUCA